rfam:Picea glauca, whole genome shotgun sequence.
UUAGAGGAUUCUCUUGAAUCCACCAAAAAAUUGUGCACAUUUUGAU